CCGACAAGCAGGUUUACGGCACACCCGAGUAUAUUGCACCCGAAGUGAUAUUGCGCCAGGGCUAUGGCAAACCUGUCGACUGGUGGUCCAUGGGCAUCAUUCUGUAUGAAUUUCUCAUCGGCUGUGUGCCGUUUUUUGGCGAAACCACUGAGGAACUGUUUGCGCACACCGUCAACGAUGACAUCGAGUGGCCGGACUGUGAGGACUGGCCUGUUCAAGCGGAGGCAAAGGACAUAAUCUCGCAGCUGCUGCAGCAGAAUCCGCGGGAUCGUCUGGGCACCCAAUCGGGUGCGCUGGAGAUGAAGGAGCACGAAUAUUUUCUGGGCAUGGAUUGGAAUUCUCUGCUGCGGCAGAAGGCAGAGUUUGUGCCGCAGUUGUCUCACGAUGAUGAUACCAGUUAUUUUGACACCCGAAUGGAUCGCUAUAACCAUGAUCUAGGCGGAGAAGAUACUGACGACACGGAUGACACUCCCGUCUUCGGCAGUUUCAACUCGUAUACUCCGCAGUACAGAAAACAGCAUUAUAGCUGGUCGCGUCAUCCCACGUCUACCGAUGGAGCGAAGCCAACGGGUCCACCCCCACUUGCAUCGCUGCCAUCGCGUGCGCAGGAGACUCCAGCAGCAGCCGUAGGACCCGCAUCAACUGGCGCUCUGCCUAAACUUAAGUCGGGAAUGGGAAGCGGAAGUGGAAGUGGCAGUGGUAGUGGUUCGGGUAGCGCCUCCCACGACGGAGUGGUCAACAAAUUCUUGAACACGCCACAAUUGCGAAAGCUAGAUCUCUCCUCAAGCUGCCUGAAGGUGCCGUCCACCCCGGAUGCCGAUUACUUGCCUGAAUUGUUGCACAAUGUGACGAUUGGAAACGAUGCUGAGUUGCGAAUGCUUAAGCAUUAUCUCCAGCAACCAAAUCCCGGCGCCACGCAGCGCAUGCAGCAGCGGCAUAGCAUGCCACCAAACACAACCACGAUCAUUAGUACGCCAGCCACUCCGCCACCUACUCAAACUCAGGCGGCAAUGUCGGCCACUCCGCCAACAGCUACGGUGGGCAGCUUUUCGCGCAGCACGCCAGAGAGUUCGCAAACGGACAGUGAUGAUUUUUCGCCACAGAUCAACCGCAAACGGAAGGGUGUUUGCGCCAGAGACAUUUUGCCGCGUUUCUCCAUCUCGAUAGAAGAUGAAACCAUUUCCGCGGGCAGCUCAUCGACGGAGAACAUGAACUUGCCAAGAGAACAGUCGCCGCUGGCUCUGCAGCAUCAACCAAAAUCCAUGGACGGCAGCACCAGUGGCAGCAGCGUGAAGCAUCAUCGGUCCAGGUCUAUUGUUAAGUCUGCAUCUGCCUUGGGUUUGUCACUCAUGACAUCUCUGGACAACAGCCAAUUGGCUGCACAGUUAUGUGGAAUUCAAUCGCCGGGUGGUGGAGGCAAUGGCUCCAGUACGGCCAGCUCAAGGGAUACUUCUCCUUGCCGAGAGCUCUCGCCAUUGGUUACAAAUCUAAAGCCUCCGAUCAUCAUACGACGUGGUCCCCGUGGUUUCGGCUUUACUGUUCAUACCAUUCGUGUGUACUAUGGCGACACGGACUUCUAUACAAUGCAUCAUUUGGUCAUGGCCGUGGACGAGGGCAGUCCAGCUUUUGAGGCGGGACUGCGGCCAGCGGAUCUCAUCACUCAUGUCAAUGGGGAGGCUGUGCAAGGCCUGUUCCACACACAGGUGCUGCAGCUGCUCCUCAGUGGUGGCGAGCACGUAACCCUGCGGGCCACUCCCCUCGAGCACACCAGCAUUCAGAGCGGUGGGCGCAAACGCGAUCUCAUGCAAAGCAAGCUGGCCAAGAAGGGUGUGAAUCGCCAGAAGAAGCAGACAAAGCGAGAGCACGACAAGAAGCGCAAGACCUCGCUGUUUCGCCGCAUAAGCAGCAAGCGUGCAAAUGCAGAGAUGCAGCAGUACUCAGCUGGCACUAGUUCACCCACCACACCAUCGGCCAGAAACUUGUCGCCGUUGGAUUCUUCGUAUCACAGCAGCUGUUGCCAGUCGGCGGCCAACUCUUCAUCGCAAUCCACAUCGCCCUCAUCCUCAUCGCCUAACACACCCACCGGUUCAAGUGGCUCCAAUCACGGUGGCAACACAGGAUCCGCUUCAGUUGCUCCCUCAGCCCUCAGUGUGCAAUUGCCUGCUGCUCCGCCACCCACCCAGUUGGUGCUCCUGCCCCAUGUGGGAGCCGUCGUUGGCAACAGUCCCACCUCUGUUGGAAAUGUGCCGGUCUCUCCCACUGGAGUCGUUCCGCAGCUGUACCAGCGUCCAUCCACUUUACAUGGUCUCAAGCACAAGCUGCAUGCAGCCACCGCCGUAAUAGCAGGCGGAGGCAACGCAAACAAUCCCGCCGGAGGCCUGAAGACUCUACAUACCACGAGCAACAAUUCGUUGCCGAAUCGACGGAAGUCUGUGGGUCACAUUCCGCUGUCUCCAUUGGCGCGAACUCCAUCACCAUCCCCGCUGCCAUCGUCACCCACAAGAUCUCCCUCCCCAUUGGCAUUUCCAUUGGUGGGUCAUCAGCCCGGUGCCUCUAACACCACACAGUCUUAUAGUCCGGGGAGCACGCUGCCCACGUUGCAGACGGCAGUGAACGCAAACACCAAGAAGGCAGGAUUUGCCCGAACCAAGUCGGCGGAACCGAGCUCUCCGCUGCUAAGGCGCGCCUUGUCACCGGAUCGCUUGCAUCCCCGUAGCGCAGAGACAAAGAUAUCGCCACUAUGCUGUUCGCCGCCCAUUAAACAGCCGACACACCAACGAGUGGUCACCACGACUUGGAGGUCGACGCCGGGCGGAGGUGCAUCGGGAGCUGGAGGAGCGGUUUUGGGAGCUCCUUCAGCUCAGCCCCUGCAGUUGCUGCCUGCUGCUUCUGAGGAAUCUCAAAAACAAACUGCUAUGGCAACAGUUUUGUCCACAACCGCUGCCGGAACUGAUCCAAGUGCCACCGCUGUGGUUACCCUGGCCAAUUGUGAGCCGCUGCCGCGUAUUGCUGAGGAGAAAGAUUCGCCCACCAGUACCCAAGACAGCAGCAGUGUGUCCGAGGGAUUUAUGCCCGCUAUCGAGGAGUUCGCGGAGGGAGAAUCCUCGUCUUCGCCCACUCAAACCCUGGAAAAGCCGACGAAGAUAAAAGCCACCGAGCAGCCAGAGAUGGAGCCUGCUGGCAAAAGCAAGAAGGUCGACCAGGGUAAAACCACAACUCCUGGAACGCCCAAAACUAAACCCCACAACAGUGGCUGUAAAACUUCGAUGACAACGACAAAGCCCGCCAGUCCAAGCGUGACCAUCUCCACAGCACCACGCAAGGAUACAACGGUUGCGACCGGUGGAGGGACCUCUGGACCAGGAGGAUCUGCAGCCACUUCAUCUGCCAAGCAGAGAAAGUAGCGCCAGAGCAGCCGCGGUGGAUAUGGAUGCUUGUGUUUUAAGUUUCGCGUUUAAAUAAUUACCCAUGAUGAGGAUGGGCGUGGAUGGAGGACAGGAAACGGAAAGCCGCAGGAAUUCAAUAUAUAUCUGUAGCGGGGGAUUGCGUUUUAAACCUUUUUUCUAACCUAGUAGUUUGUAGAUGUCAUAACUAAAGGAAAACAAAACAAAACCGCUUAAAAACUCUUAAUGUAAAUUAGUAGGCACGAUAGCAAGUCGAGAAGGAGGAGCACGAUAUUCCAGUUGAAGCAAAUAUAAGAGGCACCACGCAA
rnacentral:misc_RNA from 1 species